rnacentral:rRNA from 1 species
CACCUCUAGCAUUUCCAGUAUUAGAGGCACUGCCUGCCCAGUGACAUUAGUUAAACGGCCGCGGUAUCCUGACCGUGCAAAGGUAGCAUAAUCAUUUGUUCCUUAAAUAGGGACUUGUAUGAAUGGCCACACGAGGGCUUUACUGUCUCUUACUUCCAAUCCGUGAAAUUGACCUUCCCGUGAAGAGGCGGGAAUACGACAAUAAGACGAGAAGACCCUGUGGAGCUUUAAUUAAUCGACCCAAAGAGACCUUAAUGACCAACCGACAGGAACAACAGACCUCUGCCAUGGGCCGACAAUUUAGGUUGGGGUGACCUCGGAGAAUAAAACAACCUCCGAGUGAUUUAAAUCUAGACUAACCAGUCGAAAGUAUUACAUCACUUAUUGAUCCAAAGCUUGAUCAACGGAACAAGUUACCCCAGGGAUAACAGCGCAAUCCUAUUUCAGAGUCCAUAUCGACAAUAGGGUUUACGACCUCGAUGUUGGAUCAGGACAUCCCGAUGGUGCAGCAGCUAUCAAAGGUUCGUUUGUUCAACGAUUAAAGUCCUACGUGAUCUGUUUUCAAAAA